GUCUACGGCCAUACCACCCUGAACACGCCCGAUCUCGGAAGCUAAGCAGGGUCGGGCCUGGUCAGUACUUGGAUGGGAGUCCCUUAUUCUAACAGGACAAAUACU
rnacentral:rRNA from 1 species